UACGUAUGGUGCAAGCGUUAUCCGGAUUUACUGGGUGUAAAGGGAGCGCAGGCGGCACGGCAAGCCUGAUGUGAAAGCCCGCGGCCCAACCGCGGGACUGCAUUGGGAACUACCGGGCUGGAGUGCCGGAGAGGUAGGCGGAAUUCCUAGUGUAGCGGUGAAAUGCGUAGAUAUUAGGAGGAACACCAGUGGCGAAGGCGGCCUACUGGACGGUGACUGACGCUGAGGCUCGAAAGUGUGGGGAGCAGACAGG
rnacentral:rRNA from 1 species